rnacentral:rRNA from 1 species
UUGAUCAUGGCUCAGAUUGAACGCUGGCGGCAGGCCUAACACAUGCAAGUCGAGCGGCAGCACGGGUACUUGUACCUGGUGGCGAGCGGCGGACGGGUGAGUAAUGCCUAGGAAUCUGCCUGGUAGUGGGGGAUAACGCUCGGAAACGGACGCUAAUACCGCAUACGUCCUACGGGAGAAAGCAGGGGACCUUCGGGCCUUGCGCUAUCAGAUGAGCCUAGGUCGGAUUAGCUAGUUGGUGAGGUAAUGGCUCACCAAGGCGACGAUCCGUAACUGGUCUGAGAGGAUGAUCAGUCACACUGGAACUGAGACACGGUCCAGACUCCUACGGGAGGCAGCAGUGGGGAAUAUUGGACAAUGGGCGAAAGCCUGAUCCAGCCAUGCCGCGUGUGUGAAGAAGGUCUUCGGAUUGUAAAGCACUUUAAGUUGGGAGGAAGGGCAGUUAC